rnacentral:rRNA from 1 species
UACAGAGGGUGCAAGCGUUAAUCGGAAUUACUGGGCGUAAAGGGCGCGUAGGUGGUUAUAUAAGUUGGAUGUGAAAUCCCCGGGCUUAACCUGGGAACUGCAUACAAUACUGUAUAGCUGGAGUGCAGUAGAGGGUAGUGGAAUUUCCGGUGUAGCGGUGAAAUGCGUAGAUAUCGGAAGGAACACCAGUGGCGAAGGCGACUACCUGGACUGACACUGACACUGAGGCGCGAAAGCGUGGGGAGCAAACAGG